UUAGGCGUGAGGACUCUACAAGGAGCAAGCUAAGCCAAAGGCCCCAUCCUUGCACAAUACAGGUUUUUAUGUAUUGUGGGACGGGAGAGUGAGGCAGAGAAUGGAAGACAACUCGAAAUCAUGAUGUAUCAGAGGGAGAUGGAGAUACUAGCAGCAGUGAGAAGACCCAGAUACACUCUGUUUUAGGGAGCAGAACAAACCGUGUUCACUGGGAACUGGCUACAGAUGUGAGAAGGAGCCAGAGGCUUUAUUCCAACCACUGUCCAGGAUGCAGUUGGCAACCUUGCUUCUUUUCCAACUGGCUGAGCAAGGAGGACAGACUCCUUUCAAGGGGGCCCAGGGCAGAUGGCCUGCAUCCUUUCCAGACUGGGUAUGGAAUGCCAGACUCAGUGAGAAGCCCUGCUCUGAUGCGGAGCUCUGGGAGGUGGACAGAGAGGCCAGGUUCUGGCCACCUUCUGUUCUUGUUCACCUAAUGAUGCUUUUGUGGAGAGACAAGGAGAACAGGCAAUUCAAGGAAGGAAGAGAUUAGUGCAAGAG